GCCUACCAAGGCUGCGAUGCAUAGCCGACCUGAGAGGGUGAUCGGCCACACUGGGACUGAGACACGGCCCAGACUCCUACGGGAGGCAGCAGUAGGGAAUCUUCGGCAAUGGACGCAAGUCUGACCGAGCAACGCCGCGUGAGUGAAGAAGGUUUUCGGAUCGUAAAACUCUGUUGUUAGAGAAGAACAAGGAUGAGAGUGGAAAGUUCAUCCCUUGACGGUAUCUAACCAGAAAGCCACGGCUAACUACGUGCCAGCAGCCGCGGUAAUACGUAGGUGGCAAGCGUUGUCCGGAUUUAUUGGGCGUAAAGCGAGCGCGGGCGGUCUUUUAAGUCUGAUGUGAAAGCCCCCGGCUUAACCGGGGAGGGUCAUUGGAAACUGGGAGACUUGAGUGCAGAAGAGGAAAGCGGAAUUCCAUGUGUAGCGGUGAAAUGCGUAGAUAUAUGGAGGAACACCAGUGGCGAAGGCGGCUUUCUGGUCUGUAACUGACGCUGAGGCUCGAAAGCGUGGGGAGCAAACAGGAUUAGAUACCCUAGUAGUCCACGCCGUAAACGAUGAGUGCUAAGUGUUGGAGGGUUUCCGCCCUUCAGUGCUGCAGCAAACGCA
rnacentral:rRNA from 1 species